rnacentral:rRNA from 1 species
UUCGUAGGUGGCAAGCGUUGUCCGGAUUUAUUGGGUUUAAAGGGUGCGUAGGCGGCUUUGUAAGUCAGUGGUGAAAUAUGGCAGCUCAACUGUCAGGGUGCCAUUGAUACUGCGGAGCUUGAGUACAGAUGAGGUAGGCGGAAUUGACGGUGUAGCGGUGAAAUGCUUAGAUAUCGUCAAGAACACCGAUAGCGAAGGCAGCUUACUGGGCUGUAACUGACGCUGAGGCACGAAAGUGUGGGGAUCAAACAGG